AUUGUACUCACUCCAUCCGAAAAAACUUGUCCCAAGCUUGUCCCUCAAAUGGAUGUAUCUAGCACUAACUUGGUGCUAGAUACAUCCAUUUGAGGGACAAGCUUUUUCGGAUGGAGGGAGUAUGCU
rfam:Triticum aestivum genome assembly, contig: Triticum_aestivum_CS42_TGACv1_scaffold_229372_3B